AUGGCUUCCCCAAGGAAUCAAAAUUUUAUUUCUAUGCUAAUUUCAUUUAUGAUCAUUCUCGCAACUACGUAAUUUGCCUCUGCAUUCUUCUCAGCAAAACAUGUUGUGAUUGUCAACAAACUUGUAACGCGUGCGACAUUGAUUGUGCAUUGCAUGAACAAAGAAGAAGAUAAGGGAGUGAUUUCACUUGGACCUGGAGAUAGUUUUGAUUUCCGAUUUCGUGUUAACCUUCGCAAAACAACAGUAUACACAUGUAGCUUUGCUUGGCCUGGAAAUACAGCAACAUUCGAUAUUUUUAGAGCUGAUAGAGAUGAUAAUCCACAAAGCAAAGUUGGAGUCUGCAGUGAAUGUAUUUGGAGCAUCUACGAGCCAGCACCAUGCAGGGAUAGACGGGAUGGAGGCCAGCCUAACUGUUUUCCAUGGGCUUCUUAAAUUAUGGUGUUCUUAUCUUGAACUUUUUUGUACGACAAUUUUAAAUGAAUAAAUUAAAAUAUGUAGUGUUUUUAUAUCAUUUUUCCAUAUUUAAUCACUUUUUAUUUUGUAUUGACAUAUAUAAAAACUUUUUGCCAAAAAUAAAUAAAUAUAAAUAUAUAUAUAUGAUAUACUCCAACUAGAAAUUAUAAUCUUUUAGUUCCAUGUCAUUCUAGGUAUAACAUGAAUCAUUCAAAUAGCGGUGAGACACUCAGAAAAUGCCAAGUAUUCGUCCAUAUUUAAAAUUAUAUUUGAAAAUAAGAUAUAUUAUCCUAUAUUAAUUGAGAAGUUUAGAAUUAAUUCUCUUUAAUUUGAUUGGUUGUUGGUAUUUGAAUUUCCAUUUAUUUAAUUUAAUUUUUAAAAAGGAAACUAAUCCUAGAACUACCUAAUCUAAUCUAUAUUACGAAAAAAACAAUUAAAUAUUUAAAAGAUAGAUGAAUUAACAUAAUUUGUUUAUAGAAACAAUUAAAUAUCAUAUAUUACAUUAUAUUAAUAUAGAAUAGAUACAUAUAAAUACAUAUGAUAUUACUGAAAUAAUUUUAUGAACGAUUUAAAACAUAUUUCUAUUAAUAGUUGCCUAUAUAUGAAUUGAGAAGUCACUUAAUUGGAUUUUGCUUAUGUGUCAUUAUUAAUAGGUGAAGUUUAGAAUUAAUUCUCUUAAUUUGAUUGGUUGUUGGUAUUUGAAUUUUCAUUUCUUUAAUUUAAGUUUUAAAAAGGAAACUAAUCCUAAAAUUACCUAAUAUAAUCUAUAUUACCAAACAAACAAUUAAACAUUUAAAAGAUAGAUGAAUUAACCAAAAAAAUGCUUUUUCUCUCUCUCGAUAAGCGAUGGAAAAGGCGAUCGAGGUUUUUAUGGCUUCGCGGUGGUGGGAUCCCGGUGAUCUCGGUGUUUGCGGAGAGUUUUCGUCUACGGAGGGGUUUGGCUUGGCGGGUUGGAAAGUCGUUUGGAUUCUCCGAUGGCUUAGAUUGAGAAGGGAUAAGGGAAUAAGGAAGAGGUUAAGGAAUCACGGGAUCUUAGGAGAUCUACUCGUGAUUUUGAUUCUAAUCAAGACGGUAUCGCAGAGAAGGGAAGGUAAUAUGUCUGGAGAUUGUCAAUCUACAGAUCUUGGCUUUGUUAUGGAGAUCGGAGGAAUCAAUUACAGAUUGGUUUCAAUUAAAGUUUCUGGAAUAUUCGUUUGGGUUUUUGGGUUUUACCAAUCUCUUCCCGGGAUUGUGAUGGUCAAAUCUUUUCACAGAUGCUACGCUCUUCCUUGGAACUACUAUAUACGGGUUAUUGGGGUCUCUUAUUACCUGUAAGUCUUCUAUAGCCAGACUACUUACGGGUAAGUCUUCUACGCGAACACAUCUGGAAAAAAAUACAAUUUCAUACCUUAAACUAGUGAGAUGACUUCCUUAGCAUACAAAGUCUUCUCCAACCACCCAGAAUCUCAAACGAAAGUAACCCACCAAGAAUAGUAUGCUUGAAUGGCUCUAUCAACCAUAAAAAAAAUUUUGAAUCAAAAGCUUAAGUUUUUUGGAUGAAUAUGGAGACAAAGUGAAAGAGAUGUUGUUUUUAGUUCAUAACAAGUGAGAAAGAGAGAGUGUAAAUCGAUUUUAGGUGCAUUAAGAGCUUCAAAUUGGUUGUUCAUUGUGGUUGGGGUAUUGAUGGCAAUGACAAUCAUGUAAAUACUUGAAGAUGAUGAGAUUAAGAGAGUAAAAAAAUUAUUUUCAAAAAAAAAGAAGAAAUUUAAUGGUAUUUUUGUAAAUAUUGCGAACAUGUGGGGUGAA